GGUGGUGGCUCAGUGGUAGAACACCUACCUAGCAUGUACAAGGCACUGGGUUCGAUUCUCAGCACCG
rnacentral:tRNA from 1 species